GAUAACCAAGAAUAACUCUUGGGUCUAAAGUUGGAUUAACAAGUCUGACUUCACCACCACCUGGUGCCCAUGUGUCAUAUGCACCGCCAAUAAAACACCAGUUUACUGACCAUGCUAGAGCACCUACACCUAGAACAAUCAAAUGAUAACCAAGAAUGUUUGUCAUUUGAUUUUUAUCUCUCCA
rnacentral:antisense_RNA from 10 species